GAUGAACGCUGGCGGCGUGCUUAACACAUGCAAGUCGAACGGGAUCCAGGGAGUGCUUGCACUUUUUGGUGAGAGUGGCGAACGGGUGAGUAACACGUGAGUAACCUGUCCUUUUCUUUGGGAUAAGCUCCUGAAAGGGUGUUUAAUACCUUAUGUUCUGUCUGCCUCGCAUGGGGUGGGUGGGAAAGACUUGUUUCGGUAAGGGGUGGGCUCGCGGUCUAUCAGCUUGUUGGUGGGGUGAUGGCUUACCAAGGCUUUGACGGGUAGCCGGCCUGAGAGGGGGGUCGGUCACAUUGGGACUGAGAUACGGCCCAGACUCCUGCGGGAGGCAGCAGUGGGGGAUAUUGCACAAUGGGCGCAAGCCUGAUGCAGCGACGCCGCGUGGGGGAUGAAGGCCUUCGGGUUGUAAACUUCUUUUGCUCUGAACAAGGCGCAUCUGUGGGGUGUGUUGAGUGUAGGGGUUGAUGAGCGCCGGCUAACUACGUG
rnacentral:rRNA from 1 species